GAGAGAGAGAGAGAGAGACGUAAUUUGUCAUGAAAAUGUGGUGUUGAAAAUAUUUUCUAUGAGUUGAAUAAAUAAACCUUAGUUGUAGCAUGCUAACUGAUAAAGGUGAUGGAAGUAGUUGAAUAGGUCACUGAAAAACCUAAAAUAACAUAAAAUGGUAGCUGGAAAAGAUACUAUAUAUGUGCAUGUGUGUAUUUAUUUUACCUGCUAGUUCACUGAGUAUCAUGUUCACUAAAUUUUUCUUUAUGGGCCUAAGAUCCAAAAUUUUUGCAGAUACUGAAUUUUGGUUAAAAAAAAAAAAAAGUACUUACCCAGAAUAAACAAAGUCUUGCUUCAGAAUCUCACUGUAUAGAUUGUAAGGAUAUAGGUAUUUAAGAAUUUGCUUACAGAAUCACAAAAUUGUGAAUAAUCAGUUGAAUCUGGGCAGAUAUUUCUUUUGAAGCCAAGCCCCAUUGAUGCAGGAAAUAUUUGGAACUGAUAUCUUUCAGAGUUUAAGGGUGUCUGCUGACUGAAGAGUAUUACUAUUAUAGAAAUAUAAUGGUUUUUCUCUGUUGUAAUAGUCAUUCAUUACACGGUUUCAAUAAUUCCCAAUUUUAUUGUAGAGUAUCAGAACAUUAACACUUAUCUCAUUUUGUCUUUGCUGGAAUUUUGUCUGGAAUUAGAGCAAGUCUUAAAUUGUUCUUAUGCUUUGUUUUUAUUUCAGUUCCGUGAUCUGUUGUGCGUCUUGGCACAAAUUUGGAGAAAAAAAAAAAAAGGCAAAGGAAGCAUCUUACACAGUGAGAAAAUCCAUUCUUGAUGAGAACCAAUUUCAGUCAAAAUCUGAAGCAUUUUGAAGGUGGCAUACAUUAUCCAUUUUCAACAAUGAACAUCCUAUCCAAAUGAAGCUGGAAAAUCCAGUCAAGCCAGAUGGAUCAUUUUCUAGAAUCGUCAGGGAAAAGGUAGCUAUUAUGGUUCACUGACUAUCCAACGUGCUUUGGCACAUUUAUCAUUUCAGGCUAUUCAGAAUCAUAGUAACCAAAAGCUGGUGAAGUGGCCUGAUCCUGUCAGUUCUUUUUUAUUUACUGCAGUCAGACUUUUUGUAUAAAACUUAGUAGUAUCUCUCCUAAGAAUAAAAUUGCCCUGCUGAAAAAUGGAAGAAUGAAG
rnacentral:lncRNA from 1 species